UACGAAGGGGGCUAGCGUUGCUCGGAAUCACUGGGCGUAAAGGGCGCGUAGGCGGUCAGCACAAGUCAGUUGUGAAAUCUCCGAGCUUAACUCGGAACGGUCAACUGAUACUGUGCGACUAGAGUGCGGUAGGGGAGACUGGAAUUCCUGGUGUAGCGGUGAAAUGCGCAGAUAUCAGGAGGAACACCGGUGGCGAAGGCGGGUCUCUGGGCCGUAACUGACGCUGAGGAGCGAAAGCGUGGGGAGCGAACAGG
rnacentral:rRNA from 1 species